AUUGAACGCUGGCGGCAUGCCUUACACAUGCAAGUCGAACGGUAACGGGCCUUCGGGUGCCGCCGAGUGGCGAACGGGUGAGUAAUACAUCGGAACGUGCCCGAUCGUGGGGGAUAACGAGGCGAAAGCUUUGCUAAUACCGCAUACGAUCUACGGAUGAAAGCAGGGGACCGCAAGGCCUUGCGCGGACGGAGCGGCCGAUGGCAGAUUAGGUAGUUGGUGGGAUAAAAGCUUACCAAGCCGACGAUCUGUAGCUGGUCUGAGAGGAUGAUCAGCCACACUGGGACUGAGACACGGCCCAGACUCCUACGGGAGGCAGCAGUGGGGAAUUUUGGACAAAGGGCGCAAGCCUGAUCCAGCCAUGCCGCGUGCAGGAUGAAGGCCUUCGGGUUGUAAACUGCUUUAGUACGGAACGAAAAGCCUUCUUUUAAUACAGGAGGGUCAUGACGGUACCGUAAGAAUAAGCACCGGCUAACUACGUG
rnacentral:rRNA from 1 species